GGUCUUGGUGGUUGAUUUGGCUGGAAUGGCUGGCUAGGUCGUGUCCCCUCCCUUCCUCACCCUCCAUGCACGAUCCUCCAGAAGCUAUGAACCAGGUUGAAGAGGAUCAUCUUCCCCGAAAGGAGGAGGCCCAUUCUUCAGUCAACGGUACUUGAGUAACUAUGCUCCAGACAUAGAGAGCCUCCGAACAAGCUCGCAAAUGGAGUUCUGGGAGAUGCAAAUGGUUCAUGCACUCACCAACUAGCCCAAAGGUUAGGGGGUCCAGU
rnacentral:snRNA from 1 species